rnacentral:rRNA from 1 species
AUACGUAGGAUCCGAGCGUUAUCCGGAUUUAUUGGGUUUAAAGGGUGCGCAGGCGGCCAUUUAAGUCAGCGGUUAAAUCGUGGGGCUCAACCCCAUUCUGCCGUUGAUACUGGGUGGCUUGAUUGCGGUCGAGGUUGGCGGAAUUCGCUGUGGAGCGGUGAAAUUCAUAGAUAUGACGAAGAACACCGAUUGCGUAGGCAGCUGACCAGACCGCAAAUGACGCUCAUGCACGAAAGUGCGGGGAUCGAACAGGAUUAGAUACCCUGGUAGUCCGCACAGUAAACGAUGAAUACUUGUUUUCGGCGAUAUAAUGUCGGAGGCAAAGCGAAAGCGAUAAGUAUUCCACCUGGGGAGUACGCCGGCAACGGUGAAACUCAAAUGAAUUGACGGGG